UGAAUUUUAGGAGGAUUAUGAGGGGGACUUGGAUAGUGAUCGGUGGGAGUGAUUUGGGGAGGGAUUUUAGGAGAGAAUUAAGGGAGGUUAAGGUGUGUGGGAGUAGUUUGUUGAAUGUGGGAACUCCACUAUGCCAAUUUGGCCAUAGGCUCUUAGUGCCAAAAUUGUAUGGUUUUUCUCUCCAUUUUUGGUAGUUAUUUCUCCUUUUGCUUCUUUUCUUUCUUUGGUUGGUGGUUUUGUUUGGUAGACAAAUACUAAGUGUCACCAUUUGGGAAAUUUUCGUUUGGGUUUUUCAUUAGUGCCUUA
rnacentral:lncRNA from 1 species